UACGAAGGGGGCUAGCGUUGCUCGGAAUCACUGGGCGUAAAGCGCACGUAGGCGGCUUACUAAGUCAGGGGUGAAAUCCUGGAGCUCAACUCCAGAACUGCCUUUGAUACUGGUGAGCUUGAGUCCGGAAGAGGUGAGUGGAACUGCGAGUGUAGAGGUGAAAUUCGUAGAUAUUCGGAAGAACACCAGUGGCGAAGGCGGCUCACUGGUCCGGUACUGACGCUGAGGUGCGAAAGCGUGGGGAGCAAACAGG
rnacentral:rRNA from 1 species